AUGGAAUUCCUUUCCUUUAAAAUUAAACCCCAAAACCUUACAAGCACAAAUGGGUUAUUUAUAUCCAGUAUAAGUCGUUUUUAACAAAUAGGUCCAGAGUUUAGUAAUUCAUCAUCCUGCCCAAUAAAAGGCCAGGCCCAGGGUUAAAAUUUUCCUUUCACCAAGCACCCUUGAGUUGGCUCAAUCUUAAAUUUACCGCUUCAUUUUAAAGGGUUUCCACCGAGCGGAAGAAACAAGAGAGCAGGAGAGAAGUAAAGGAAAAGAGGAGAUUCCAUCACCGCCGUCCGAAGAGGAGGCACGACCAUGAGCAGGGUCAGAGUCAGAAUAAGAAGACUUCGUAGGCGAUUGUUCCGCUAACUGACGAUCUUAAAAACCAGUUCAUCAAACAGGUAAGAGCACAAGUUUUUCUCUCUUGCUUUGAAAUCUAAACCCUAGAUUGCUGCUUUCUGCCUAUUUUGUUUUUUUUUCAUUGUUUUUAUGUUCUUUUAGAUGAGCUUUUUUUAAUCUUUAAUUCUUUAUUUUUAUGUUCAUGUUCUUGGAGCUGGAAUAUUAUUGUAGCGAUGAAAACGUGCGUAAGUAUAUCACGUGUCCGAUUAAGAAGAACAAAAAAAGGUUUUAGGGCUUGUAGCCUUGAUUGGUUUUGCUGCGUGGAAAUGAUUAGUGACCUCUCCAAUCACCAAGAAGAUGGAACUAUUAUGCUAAUACCAUAAAAAGGGUUAAAGUUGAUAAUGAUAUCUCACAUGGGUCGCAAUUUUUAACUUCACUGAUAGAAGCAAGAAACUGGGCUUGAAUUUGGUUUUUAAGUAACUUAUGGAUGAAGACAGAUAGUAUAAAAAUAAGUUUUAGCUGAUCUAUUUGAGGAAUUAACAAUUGCACAUAGGUAUGUCGUCGAAUCUGUGAAUUUUGUAGCUUGCAGUGAAAGGGCAGUUUAUCAUAAAAUUCUUGUACAAGUGAGAAGCGACAUGGUAAGAGCUUGUUAACUUACUGUGUCCAAAUUUCUGUUUGUUUCAUUUACCUUGACAGUAUUUGUUUGUUAAAAAGGGAAAACGUAGAAAGGGGCAGUGUCUUCACCGUGCCUUGUAGUUUUCUCUCAUUUUCAAUAUUAUAUCAGAACAUUUGAAAUAUCCAUUGAAGAAA